GCAGACACAUUCCAGCCAAUCAGCAGCAGACCCUCCCUCCCAGACCCUCCCACCUCCUGGACAGCAUCCAUUGUGAAGCUGCAUUCUUAGUGAGCUGUCCAGGAGGUGGGAGGGUCUGGGAGGGAGGGUUUGCUGCUGAUUGGCUGGAAUGUGUCUG